UCAUUGCAGAGUGGGUCAUUGAUUCUGGUUGCACAGAUCAUAUGACAGGAUCUUUUGACGAAGCGGAUUAUUGGUAAAGGACGUGAGUUUGGUGGCCUUUAUCUUCUGGAUGAACAAGUUUCGUCAUCUUUGGCUU